UGGGCUUGCCUAGCGUGGGCUACC
rnacentral:siRNA from 1 species